CCACUCCUCACACUCUGGGACAAGAGAGGAGCACCUGAGGGAUGGUCUCCUUACGGCUGAGAAAGGUCAAACUGGAGGAUGCUGGGAAAUCUAAGUGCAACAUGGCGCCCUCCCUGCAACCAAAACAGUCACCCUGAAAAUCUUGGACUGAAGACUCCAGCAGGUUCUUCUGGGCCAGACCAGCUUCUUUCCAAGAAUGUGUUCCUCAAGUGCCUGUUUGAAGGAAACACCAUGCCCAUUAAGCUGGGGGGUCUGAGCGUAUGUUGGGAACACAAUGGCAAGUCAUUCGUGGAGUUCCACCAUGGAGAACUUGUGGUUCAUGAGACCCAGGUGAUGUUGUCCCCAGCAGAACUUGAGAAGGGAAAUGUUCCUCUAACCCUGACCAAUGUGACUCUGACUGACGGUGGCAAAUACACUGGUGUAAUUCAGUAUGAUGUCAGCCAAGGGCACUGUGGGUACAGACUGAUUGUGCAAGUUGGGUACACACAACAAUAUCAGCAUUAUUCUCUCCCUCCUCUCUUCCUCCAGCACAAUUGAACCAGAUGGACCUUGAGUGACAUUCUGCCCCAGAGCAUGCUGCAGGAUAUUCAGUGACUCCCUCUAAUGUCUUUGUACUGCGCUAUGGAUCAUGUUGGAAAGUCACUCAGCACAACCUGAAGAAGUCCAUCAGU